UCGCAGCUCUCCUUCCCUUCUCCUAUGCCAGUGAGGCCCAGAGCAACGUAAGGCGGGGAGGGGACUGGGGCGCGCUGUUGGGUUGCGACCUGAGGCGGUGGGCACAGGUCAGGUAAAUCUGCGAGGGGCUGGGGAUGGGAUAGUAGCUAGGCGUAGUCCAGGCCGGGUAUUUCUUGGGGCCUCCGGCAAUGUUUUCUUUCCAGGUAUUUGCACGUCUUUCUGCAGAGAGACCCCAGCACGGACACUAGCUCUUUCGGGUUCGACAGCGUCGCGAUUUGGCUCUUUCCAGGGGAACAGUGGCGGGGCAUUUGCUGAUGCGCCUGGUUCAUGGAUCCCAGGACGUUCCACUAGAAAGCUUGGACUGCAGUUAGGAGCUCCCUCCCCUUCCCUGUCCACAGUGUUUCAUAGACCGUACUUAGGCCCGUAGGCUCAGAACGACCCAUCACCACACCCACGCUGACACACGCACACACACACUGAAGUGUACCUUGAUCAUACACUCACACUUACUUAUACAGACUGUUCCUCACUCUGCCCCAGUAACAACCCUUCCUCCUCUAGACUUUGAGAUGGAGAGAGGGAUCUGUGCACAUCGUUCUCCGGUGCUCCCACAUCUCCUGCUGGUCUGGUUUGUCCUGGAAGGAGUUUAAGAGGGACAGGCCCCAGCUGGGUGCCGGCUGGGACUCUGAGCCCCCCUUCUGGGGCCUAACGGGGCUUCAUAGAACCUGGGCAGGAGCUGACUCUCUGGGCACCCGGACGCUCCCUAUUUCACUCCAUUUUGGGACAGGAGAAAGGAGCUCUUUGGGGCCACUUCAUGCCUUCUUCCCAAGUAGGAUUGGGAAGAGCCCUGUCUCCAGCCUGCAGAGGGUGCCCCGUCCUCUUCCCUCCAAGAACCAGCCUGAGACGCCUUUCCUCUGUGCCUGGGAAAUGCGACCCUUUCCUGAGAGCACGGGUCGGGACCAAUGAGGCUGGGUUCCAGUUUUUAUCUGUCCUGUUCGUGGGUUUGCCCGGACCAAUCCAGACCCGGAAAAACGAAAACACAGCUCGGGGAGCCCCCACCAGCCGGCGCCUGUGCCAGCUCACCUCUGGCCAUGGCGCAGCUGCUGGUGCACACAGCGGCCAAGGCCAGCUCCACAUUCCUCCCUCCAGCUCCCCACUUCACCGGAGACCGAGCCCUGCAUGCAGAGGAAGGGCCCCAGCUCCACAGACUGCCAAAGUCGACAGGGUGCCUCCUCACCAAAAAUGGUGAGACAAGAUUUCAUCUUGUCUGCUGAGGAGCAACAAGCAGGAGGGGUGGGAGCGCAGAGAUAAUGGCAAAGGAAGAAAGAUUCAGAGAGGAAAAAAAUGGCUGAGAAGCUGAGGCUAACUAAGAGGGAAAGAGAGAAAGAGAAAAACACCCGAACAGAAUAGCAUCUUCGAAUUUGCAGUUGAUCAGACCGUUUGGGAAAGAGACAAGUGAGGGGCUGCUCUGUUCAUGGUGGACUUUGCGAGUUUCCCCACCUCUGUCCCCACGAGGGCAGACACUGUACUCUUUUUCUUGAGGAAAAAGGGUAGAUUCUGAAGAAACCUGGGCCGAAGCUGGCCAGUAGGCAGAGAAAUGGCACCUCCUGAGUCACUUGCUCAAACCUUUGUUGUAGCUUUGUGUGCAUUUGAAGCAUUAAUGAGGCAGCAAAAAGCCCAAGGCUGUAGGGACAGUUUUGGACUGUGGGAAGUCACUUGGCACUGUGGCGGCUAACUGCUAACAUGAUGAAAGUGGGAGGAAAUGCAAGGUCCAGGAAGACCUGGGAAAACCCCGUCUGCCUUUAAGAUUCCCUAAGCUGGUGGAUUUUGAGGAGAACAAAUUUUUGAAGGAGCAGCUCUCCCGUUGCCUGGUGGGUUCGUUCAGUACCAGGCCUUCAAGGCCAGCAGUGCACUACCUCUCAGAAAGGACGACGCAAGGCCAGGGAGGGCCCCGGUUCCAGCACUGGCCUGCAGUGUUUCCCCUAGAAAGUCCGUGAGCAAGGAGAGGGGCGCCCCCUCUCUCGUUUUGAGCAACCAGCCCCUAAUCCUAGGCUCGCUGGAGGAGCAACACCCAGCCCCCGGCCCCUGCACAGUGCCAGGCGGCGCGGCCCCCAGACUUCCUAGGGUUGGCGCAAACAUGGAGUGAGGGGCGCGUUCCUGCCUGAGACCGGCUGCCUUCGGGCUCUGGGAGGCCUGGGUGAUACCGCCAGUGGCGCUGAUGAUGGCGAGGGGAGUGCCGCCUGCCCCGAUGGCGCCGCCGCAGCUCUCCUCUUGACUGAACCUGGAAACUCAGCCUUCGCUUAAAGGACAGGGGCAUACGUUCGAAGCAGAGGGAACUCGGAGCAACGCUCAGCCGGAAGGAGGAAACGCCUUCUCGAAGUCCUCAGCGGCCCCGCGGGUGUACCCAUCCUUUGCACUGCGGGGGCCCCUGCCGCCCCGGGAGUGAGCUCCCCGUCAACCGGCCGACCAGGGCGCUGGGAGAGCGCAGGACGGCCCGAGGAAUUCCGGGCGGUUGCGACGUGAAAAGGGAGAGAGAACUGUGUCGCGGCUGCUCUCUGUCCCUGCCACUGCCCAAAAGGAGUCCCACCCGCCGGCCUCCGCCCCGAUCCCAGCUUAAUGCUCACGCUCACAACAAAACAGGAAACCAGCGCGGGGCUGUGGAUUCAUUAUGUCAACAAAUACACUGAAGACAUUCGAGUGUUUGAAGGAAAUAGGGGGUUUGGACGUCAGCCUGGCCCCCUUGGAGCCCCGGCAUUCUCGCGGAAAAACCGGUGCAGGCAACCAGGAGGCCAGCGGCCUGGGCCCGCGUGGGUCCGUCUCUCCUCAGAAGCCUGCAGACUCCCCCGUCCUGACCAGGGUUGAGAACUCUGAUGAGUAGAGCAACUGAGGGAAGGAAACUCACCCGCGCAGCCACGAGAAAGGGGAACUCGGAGAACGCAGAGGCGUGAUCAGACAUUUACGGCACGUUACGUGCUGUAAGCAUAACAAUAUAUGUCUUGAUAUGCACACACAGAUUCACACAUCAGAUGCACACACACACACACAGUGAACGCAGACGUCUAUCGUCAUGUGGGUGAAAUACAGGCAUCAUAUCAAAUCCUGAGGAAAAAUGUUUCACCCUGUUGGACCAGCCUUGUGACAUACUUCGGGGUGGUUGGCGUCUGCCUAUCCCGUUCUGAUUUUUUUUCCGACUACUUACUAUUCCCUCCCCGGUGGCUUUGUAAAUACACCUGUCCCCAGUGGAAGGCGAGCCCCGGACUGGCAUUUACCUGGUUGGGGUGCUCUCCCCAGAAACUCUGGCUGGCUCUGGGGACCCGCGCUGAGUCGAUCAGCAGGACCGACGCCGCUCAUGGCGCAGCCGCCGCUUCUUUGCCCCGCUGCUCCAGCCCCGCUCGGCCCAAUCCUCAAGGAAACGAAGCAGUUCAAUAAAAACUUUUGAUAUUAGUUUUUAUGGGUAUUUACACUCUGGUCAGGGGAGCUGAGUACGGAAGCUCCAUUAAUCAGCCCCCAACCUCGGGUUUGGAUGCUCAGUUUAUGGGUUGGGAAAGGGAGCUUGCCGGAAAGAAAGCAUGGGGAUGGCCGGCUGAUUCCGGAGAAAUGAAAAGGGAGCAAGGUCGUUUUCCGUUCUUGGAAAACGAAGAUUAAAUGGGUAAUUCCAGGUGCUACCCAACGGACUACGUUUUUAUUUGAGCCCCCUGGCAGGAAUAACUUUUCCACCUUUGCCAAACACAUCAUUUUAAAAAGUCUUUUUAUUAUGGAAUUUUCCAAACACACAAAAGCAUAACAAGCCCUUGUAUACUCAACUCUUAGUUUCAACCGCUAUUAUCAUUUUGUCUUUCAUGUUUCAUCAUCCGCUUCCACUUUUUUUUUCCUGGAAUAUUUGAAAGUAAAGCCCAAGCUGCAUCAUUCCAUUCCCAAUAUGGGAUUUUGAGGAUAAAUUUCAAGGUUGAGCAAAAUGGCUCAAUAAAAAGGAAUCCUUCCUGUGUCUGAGUGUGAGGGGUCAGUGUGUUUGAACUUGAAUUGUUCUGAUUACAAUCUAAAAAGAACUUGAGGGUCCACCCAAGAGAAAUCUGGACAAAAAAGGGAUUUGGGGUGUGGGUGCAUCUUGCCCGAAAUUUUAUAUGUCUGUUCUUUAUAAAAAAUACAUAUGUAUGCGGGAACUCAUGUUACCCUUUUCCACGAAUGUGUCAUCUUUUAAUGGAAGAUUUCUGCGACUGCAUCAGGAUUUUAUGGGAAGAGGAAAACCAUGCCUUGGUUCUUUCUGUGUCUGAAAUUGACAUAUAUUCCUUUAUUAUUGGACGAGUGACUAUUUCCCAUUUCAACACACCUCCUCCCUUGGUAGAAACCAAAAAGAGAUUUCUAAUGAUUAAGCUAGGAAGGGAAUGUUUAUACUGGUUUGGUAUCUCAUUUCAGCAACCACAGUUUUCAAGAAGAAAUGCAACUCCAUGUAUUCUUAAAAAUCUCA